rnacentral:rRNA from 1 species
UGGGGAAUAUUGGAAAAUGGGCGAAAGCCUGAUCCAGCCAUGCCGCGUGUGUGAAGAAGGUCUUCGGAUUGUAAAGCACUUUAAGUUGGGAGGAAGGGCAUUAACCUAAUACGUUAGUGUUUUGACGUUACCGACAGAAUAAGCACCGGCUAACUCUGUGCCAGCAGCCGCGGUAAUACAGAGGGUGCAAGCGUUAAUCGGAAUUACUGGGCGUAAAGCGCGCGUAGGUGGUUUGUUAAGUUGGAUGUGAAAUCCCCGGGCUCAACCUGGGAACUGCAUUCAAAACUGACUGACUAGAGUAUGGUAGAGGGUGGUGGAAUUUCCUGUGUAGCGGUGAAAUGCGUAGAUAUAGGAAGGAACACCAGUGGCGAAGGCGACCGCCUGGACUAAUACUGACACUGAGGUGCGAAAGCGUGGGGAGCAAACA